AUGAAGAAGACAUCUGGAGUUAUAUUUAAAGACUGUGAUGCCAGAUGCAGAUGAAGGGAGGCGACCAGUGCUAAACCUCAUCAUGUGGGAGACCUUCACCUCUGAUUUGGUCGUAGCACCAUGUUGAGAUAUUUUCUUAGUUUGUAUAUAUAAUGUGUAGUUACACAUACUUCAUACAGUUAAUAUAAAGGUUUAUUUACUGUCUAGUGAUUGAAAUAUAUUUUUACAAUAUUAUUUUACCAAGGUAUUAAAUGGCAUAUUUUUAGAAUAUUCUUAGGGUAUUAUCCAAAAGAAAAAUGUACAUUUUGAGAAAGAUUUUUUCCUUAAUUUAAGAGAGAGUUGUUAGUUACAUAUUCUAGUGUUUAGUUUGAAGUAUUACCUUUUGAGUGUGGCAUUUG